GAUGAAGAACGUAGCGAAAUGCGAUAAGUAAUGUGAAUUGCAGAAUUCAGUGAAUCAUCGAAUCUUUGAACGCACAUUGCGCCCGCCAGUAUUCUGGCGGGCAUGCCUGUCUGAGCGUCAUUUCAACCCUCAUGCCCCUAGAGCGUGGUGUUGGGGAUCGGCCAAAGCCCGCGAGGGACGGCCGGCCCCUAAAUCUAGUGGCGGACCCGUCGUGGCCUCCUCUGCGAAGUAGUGAUAUUCCGCAUCGGAGAGCGAUGAGCCCCUGCCGUUAAACCCCCAACUUUCCAAGGUUGACCUCAGAUCAGGUAGGAAUACCCGCUGAACUUAAGCAUAUCAAUAAGCGGAGGA
rnacentral:misc_RNA from 1 species